GCAUCGGAGGUUCAGUGGUAGAAUGCUCGCCUGCCACGCGGGCGGACCAGGUUCGAUUCCCGGCCGAUGCA
rnacentral:tRNA from 1 species